GGGCUGAGUCCCUGGCUUGGCGCCUUCCGCAGUGCCGUGGCGGGUGCCUGAGUUCCAGAACUCCAAGUCUCUUCCCCUAGAACGUGUGCUGGGUGGAGCCUAGGCCAGAGACCACAGCUGAGCUAGAAGGAAGAGACUCCAUGCCUGUGCUCUUGAUGGAAUUUAAAAUUGAAAACACUUGGGAUGGUUUUCCAGUGAAGCAUGAGCCAGUGUGUAUCAAGCUGAGCCCAGUGGACAAGGGCAUGAAGAUGGAGGUUAGUGCUCCAUUUUUCAAUGAUCCUCCAGCUCCUCUUGGAGAACCAGGAAAGCCUUUCAGUGAACUGUGGAAUUAUGAAGUUGUGGAAGCAUUUUUCUUGAAUGAUACAACUGAGCAGUAUUUAGAAGUUGAACUUUGUCCACAUGGACAACAUUUAGUUCUUUUACUCUCUGGAAGAAGAAAUAUUUGGAAAAAAGAGCUCGAGUUAUCAUUCAAAGUGUUCAGAGGGGAGACCAACUGGGAAGGCAUAGCUCUUCUUCCUUGGAGUUAUUUUCCACCAAAUGUGACAAGAUUCAACUCAUUUGCAAUUCAUGGAUCAAAUGAUAGAAGAAGUUAUGAAGCCCUUUACCCCGUGCCACAGCAUGAACUGCAGCAAGGACAACAGCCUGAUUUCCAUCGUCUAGAAUAUUUCAAGCCUUUCAGUCUUAACAUGCUGCUUGGAGAAGAAUGGAAGCAGCCAGAAUCAGACAUGUGGCUAAAAGAGAGACCUGAUGUGUAGAAGUGGAGUAGAUAACCGAGCACGUCCAUCAUUUCUCCUCUGUGCUUUUAAGAGCUUGCUUUGUAAUAGAUGUGUGAACUUCUGUAUCAUACUUAGACCUUCUCAGCAUCAUUAGCUCAGAGGCCAGACUCACAGACGGUAAAGACACUUUCUUGCCAUCUCUCCUCCCAUUUAAAAAGAAAAGAUUUAUUUGUGUGCAUGUGUGUUUGUUAUUGUUUACAUUCAUGCAGAAGACCAGGAGGACAGAGGAGGACAGAAGAAGCCUAGGGGUCUCCACAACUGGAGUUACAAGCAGUUCUGAGCUGCCUGACGACAUGGGUGUUGGGAAUUGAACUCAGGUCUUUUACAAGAGCAGCGUGAGUUUUUAACCCUUUUCCAUCCCUCCAGACCCUCUCCUCUUCUUUAGUAACAGAAGUUGAAUUUUUAGAGGCUUUUCUUAGAAAUGUUAUUUACUCAGAACAAUCCACCUCUAUUUCUCCAGAUUCUUUUGUAGGUAAUAUGGCCAUGGAAUGGUUUGUGUCAGUGAGAUGUACAAUAUACGUGAUACAUGUCAUGUGCUGUAUAAAAUUCUGAUUAGUAGCAGACUGCUGGUACUGCUUCCAUAAAGUUCUAAUUGAGCCGAAAUGUGAUACUUUCUAGUGAUUACAUAGCCAUUGUAAUAUUAAUGGCACAGUACUAUAUGUUUGUGUUGAUGUUUAUAUAAAGAAACCAGAACAUCAUCCCUGCAUCCACUGGCGCUGCCAAGGCUGUGGGCAAAGUCAUCCCAGAGCUGAACAGGAAGCUCAUGGGCAUGGCCUUCCGCGUUCCUACCCCCAAUGUGUCCGUCGUGGAUCUGACAUGCCGCCUGGAGAAAGCUGCCAAGUAUGAUGACAUCAAGAAGGUGGUAAAGCAGGCAUCGGAGGGCCCACUAAAGGGCAUCCUGGGCUACACUGAGGACCAGGUCGUCUCCUGUGACUUUAACAGUGACUCUCACUCUUCCACCUUCGAUGCUGGGGCUGGCAUUGCUCUCAAUGACAACUUUGUAAAGCUCAUUUCCUGGUAUGACAAUGAAUUCGGCUACAGCAACAGAGUGGUGGACCUCAUGGCCUACAUGGCCUCCAAGGAGUAAGAAGCUCGCCCUGGACCACCCAUCCCAGCAAGGACACAGCAAG